GCCCAAGAGAUCGGGAUAACACCUGGAAACAGAUGCUAAUACCGGAUAACAACAGAUGAUGCCUAUCAACUGUUUAAAAGAUGGUUCUGCUAUCACUCUUGGAUGGACCUGCGGUGCAUUAGCUAGUUGGUAGGGUAACGGCCUACCAAGGCGAUGAUGCAUAGCCGAGUUGAGAGACCGAUCGGCCACAUUGGGACUGAGACACGGCCCAAACUCCACGGGAGGCAGCAGGU
rnacentral:rRNA from 1 species